rnacentral:tRNA from 2 species
AGGGGUUUAGGUUAUACCAGACCAAGGACCUUCAAAGCCCUAAGAAAGUAAUCUAUACUUAAUCCCUGU